CAUGCAUAUCAGUCAAGACAAAGACCUUACUAUGAAGCUGUUAAUGAGAGAACUUUAGCAGAUAUAGAAUGAAAAGGAGGUUUCAAAGGCAGAGGAAAAAAUCAAGUUGACUACUGAAAAAAUACAUAAUUUAAAGAAAAGAGUUGGAGAAAAUGAAGAAGAAGAGCAGAGAAAAGAGACCACCUUUCUAAACCAGAAGGCUUUUCUUUCUUCUAUGCCCAGUUGGCCCUGACUUCACACAAACAUAUGGAGCAGAAAGAGAGACAGACACAGAAGAAAGAGAUACACUCACUAACACGGUUUUGCAACUACCUGCCCUCAGACUAAAUCAGACAGGACAUGGGCAUAUGUGUGUCUGGAGAGAAACUGGGAGAAGAAAAGGAAGAAUUCACCCC